UACGUAGGGCCUAGCGUUGUCCGGAUUUAUUGGGCGUAAAGGGCUCGUAGGCGGUUCGUCACGUCGGGAGUGAAAACUCAGGGCUUAACCCUGAGCUUGCAGUGGGUACGGGCAGACUAGAGUGCGGUAGGGGAGACUGGAAUUCCUGGUGUAGCGGUGAAAUGCGCAGAUAUCAGGAGGAACACCGGUGGCGAAGGCGGAUCUCUGGGCCUUACCUGACGCUGAGGCGCGAAAGCUAGGGGAGCGAACAGG
rnacentral:rRNA from 1 species